UACGUAGGGCGCGAGCGUUGUCCGGAAUUAUUGGGCGUAAAGAGCUCGUAGGUGGCUUGUUGCGUCUGCCGUGAAAGCCCGUGGCUUAACUACGGGUCUGCGGUGGAUACGGGCAGGCUAGAGGCUGGUAGGGGCAAGCGGAAUUCCUGGUGUAGCGGUGAAAUGCGCAGAUAUCGGGAGGAACACCGGUGGCGAAGGCGGCUUGCUGGGCCAGUUCUGACGCUGAGGAGCGAAAGCGUGGGGAGCGAACAGG
rnacentral:rRNA from 1 species